rnacentral:rRNA from 1 species
GAACGGGUGAGUAAUACGUGAGUAACCUGCCCUUGACUCUGGGAUAAGCCUGGGAAACUGGGUCUAAUACUGGAUACUACCUCUUACCGCAUGGUGGGUGGUGGAAAGGGUUUUACUGGUUUUGGAUGGGCUCACGGCCUAUCAGCUUGUUGGUGGGGUAAUGGCUCACCAAGGCGACGACGGGUAGCCGGCCUGAGAGGGUGACCGGCCACACUGGGACUGAGACACGGCCCAGACUCCUACGGGAGGCAGCAGUGGGGAAUAUUGCACAAUGGGCGGAAGCCUGAUGCAGCGACGCCGCGUGAGGGAUGACGGCCUUCGGGUUGUAAACCUCUUUCAGUAGGGAAGAAGCGAGAGUGACGGUACCUGCAGAAGAAGCGCCGGCUAACUACGUGCCAGCAGCCGCGGUAAUACGUAGGGCGCAAGCGUUGUCCGGAAUUAUUGGGCGUAAAGAGCUCGUAGGCGGUUUGUCGCGUCUGCUGUGAAAGCCCGGGGCUCAACCCCGGGUCUGCAGUGGGUACGGGCAGACUAGAGUGCAGUAGGGGAGACUGGAAUUCCUGGUGUAGCGGUGAAAUGCGCAGAUAUCAGGAGGAACACCGAUGGCGAAGGCAGGUCUCUGGGCUGUUACUGACGCUGAGGAGCGAAAGCAUGGGGAGCGAACAGGAUUAGAUACCCUGGUAGUCCAUGCCGUAAACGUUGGGCACUAGGUGUGGGGGACAUUCCACGUUUUCCGCGCCGUAGCUAACGCAUUAAGUGCCCCGCCUGGGGAGUACGGCCGCAAGGCUAAAACUCAAAGGAAUUGACGGGGGCCCGCACAAGCGGCGGAGCAUGCGGAUUAAUUCGAUGCAACGCGAAGAACCUUACCAAGGCUUGACAUUCACCGGACCGCCCCAGAGAUGGGGUUUCCCUUCGGGGCUGGUGGACAGGUGGUGCAUGGUUGUCGUCAGCUCGUGUCGUGAGAUGUUGGGUUAAGUCCCGCAACGAGCGCAACCCUCGUUCUAUGUUGCCAGCACGUGAUGGUGGGGACUCAUA